rnacentral:misc_RNA from 1 species
GGCGAAACGUUACCGUCUCGCCGGAAAAUUCUCCUUAAUCUCCGAUACAUUUCACAUUUUUAUUAAUAUAUUUGAUUGAUCUCUCAUCCAUAAGAAAAAAAAACUGAAUAAUCAGUUAGGGUUCGUUUUCCGUUAACACUUAAAGAUCGAACUUUUGGUUGAUUUUUUCCGCUAAUGUGGUUGAGAUUUAGGGUUUAUGGUGCUGCUUUCGGAAUCAACACUCACUGGAAGAUCUAACUGUUCAAGUUUUGCUUACGUUUCUGAAGGAUCAAAUUUCGUCGUGUUUUCACUUGGUGCUCAGAUUUGAGCAGUUUGAUCCGCUCACUUUUUUUUUUUU